GGGGAAACGCCCGGUCCCAUUCCGAACCCGGAAGCUAAGACCCACAGCGCCGAUGGUACUGCACCCGGGAGGGUGUGGGAGAGUAGGUCACCGCCGGAA
rnacentral:rRNA from 1 species